rnacentral:rRNA from 1 species
AGAGUUUGAUCCUGGCUCAGGUGAAGUCGUAACAACGUAGAGUUUGAUCCUGGCUCAGUGAAGUCGUAACAAGGUAAAGGGCGAAUUCCAGCACACUGGCGGCCGUUACUAGUGGAUCCGAGCUCGGUACCAAGCUUGGCGUAAUCAUGGUCAUAGCUGUUUCCUGAAAAAGACCCCUUCGGGGGAAAGCAGGGGAUCUUCGGACCUUGCGCUAUUGGAUGAGCCUAUGUCUGAUUAGCUUGUUGGGGGGGGAACGGCCCACCAAGGCGACGAUCAGUAGCUGGUCUGAGAGGACGAUCAGCCACACUGGGACUGAGACACGGCCGAGACUCCUACGGGAGGCAGCAGUGGGGAAUAUUGGACAAUGGGGGCAACCCUGAUCCAGCAAUGCCGCGUGUGUGAAGAAGGCCUGCGGGUUGUAAAGCACUUUCAGUGGGGAGGAAAAGCCUAAGGUUAAUAGCCUUGAGUCUUGACGUUAUCCACAGAAGAAGCACCGGCUAACUCUGUGCCAGCAGCCGGGGUAAUACAGAGGGUGCAAGCGUUAAUCGGAAUUACUGUGCGUAAAGCGCGCGUAGGCGGUCUGUUAAGUCGGAUGUGAAAGCCCCGGGCUCAACCUGGGAACUGCAUUCGAUACUGGCAGGCUAGAGUAUGGUAGAGGGAAGUGGAAUUCCGGGUGUAGCGGUGAAAUGCGUAGAUAUCCCGGAGGAACAUCAGUGGCGAAGGCGGCUUCCUGGACCAAUACUGACGCUGAGGUGCGAAAGCGUGGGGAGCAAACAGGAUUAGAUACACUGGUAGUGCACGCCGUAUACGAUGAGAACUACACGUUGGGUCCAUUUAAAGAAUUUGGUGUCGCAGCUAACGCGUGAAGUCUCCGCCUGGGGAGUACGGCGGCAAGGUAAAACUUAAAGGAAUUGACGG